GGGCUUGUAGCUCAAUUGGCAGAGCAGCGGACUCUUAAUCCGCGGGUUGUAGGUUCGAUUCCUACCAGGCUCA
rnacentral:tRNA from 1 species